rnacentral:rRNA from 1 species
ACCUCGAAAGAGCAAAGUGGGGGAUCUUCGGACCUCACGCCAUCGGAUGUGCCCAGAUGGGAUUAGCUAGUAGGUGAGGUAAUGGCUCACCUAGGCGACGAUCCCUAGCUGGUCUGAGAGGAUGACCAGCCACACUGGAACUGAGACACGGUCCANACUCCUACGGGAGGCAGCAGUGGGGAAUAUUGCACAAUGGGCGCAAGCCUGAUGCAGCCAUGCCGCGUGUGUGAAGAAGGCCUUAGGGUUGUAAAGCACUUUCAGCGAGGAGGAAGGCAUCAUACUUAAUACGUGUGGUGAUUGACGUUACUCGCAGAAGAAGCACCGGCUAACUCCGUGCCAGCAGCCGCGGUAAUACGGAGGGUGCAAGCGUUAAUCGGAAUUACUGGGCGUAAAGCGCACGCAGGCGGUUUGUUAAGUCAGAUGUGAAAUCCCCGAGCUUAACUUGGGAACUGCAUUUGAAACUGGCAAGCUAGAGUCUUGUAGAGGGGGGUAGAAUUCCAGGUGUAGCGGUGAAAUGCGUAUAGAUCUGGAGGAAUACCGGUGGCG